AGGAAGCUAAUGAACCUAAGAAUCGAUCAUCGACUGCUUCUAGCAAAUCAUCGAAAGCUGCCGAGAAAACAGCGUAUCUUAAAAAGGCAUUAAAGCUUCUUGGAACGGAAAAGUUUAGCGAAUUAUCGGAUGCUAUAAAGCAAUUUAAACAGAAUAAUGAUUUUGAAAGAUUUCUGUUCUUUAUGAUGACAAUGUUGCUCAAAGAAAAGAAGUUUUAUGAAUUAUUUUUGGGUUUUGCUGAGAAUCUAAGGGGAUCAAACAGAGCAAAGUUUCUUGAGAAAUUCACUGAUAUUACUGGCGAAGCUGUACCGGAUGAAUAUGAAAAAAGAAAGAGAUCUGAACCUACACAAGAGCCUGAACCGGACGUUUCUUCUACAAAAAUACGUAAACUUAGUUGACAUACGUGUACACGAGCUGAGAGAAUUUUUCAGGCGAUUUAAUGAAUUUCAAAUACUGUGA